CCACUCCCGGCACGGGGAGGUAGGGACGAAAAAUAACAAUACGGGACUCCACCGAGGCCUCGUAAUGGGAAUGAGUACAAUUUAAAAUCCUUAACGAGGAUCUAUUGGAGGGCAAGUCUGGUGCCAGCAGCCGCGGUAAUUCCAGCUCCAAUAGCGUAUAUUAAAGUUGUUGCGGUUAAAAAGCUCGUAGUUGAAUCUCAGUUCUGGACGAGCACGGGUCCGCCAUAACACUGGUGGACUGCUGACUUGCCCGGUGCAAAACCGCCCGGCUUCCCCCACGGUGCUCUUCACCGAGUGUCGUGGGUGGCCGACACGUUUACUUUGAGAAAACCAGAGUGCUUAAAGCAGGCGCAAGACGCCCGAAUGACUGUGCAUGGAAUAAUGGAAGAGGAUCUCGCUUCUGUCUUUGUUGGUUCCUCGGAAGGCGAGAUAAUGAUUAAUAGAAGCAGUCGGGGGCAUUCGUAUUGCGACGUUAGAGGUGAAAUUCUUGGAUCGUCGCACGA
rnacentral:rRNA from 1 species